UUUUUUUUUUAUCUAAGAUGUAAUUGAAUUCCAUCUUUACAUGUAUUGACAUCCUGUGAUGUCGAGGCUCUAAAGUCACAAAGACUGAACCAAGUUUCAAAUUCAAUAUACACUCACUGAACACCUCUCUUGUAUUAAAGGUUCCAACUCAAAUGUAGAUUUUGCAAACUUCUCCUAUUAUGGAAAACAUUUCUAUAUUCCCAUAUGACCAAUAUUAUGAUAAAAAAUCAUCCCAAUCCAGAAGGCGUCACUAUGGUCCUUUACAAAUAAUGUCGUACUUCUAACUGUCCACAAACAACCAAUUCUUUGGUAAACCUUAUAACGUUCUUAACACUUUGUUUAACAACUUUAGUAACAUAAGUUGAAAGAUCUAAUAUGCUCAAGAAAAAUAUUAUAAUGAUAUUGCUAAUUAACAUAUGAUACUAAGGGCUACACUAACAACAACUUGAUACAAUUGAUUAUUUAAUAGAAUUUGAUUUUAAUAAAUAUUCAUAAACUCUUAUAAUAAACUGGGAAAAUAUUUAUUUCAUGGAAAUAAUUAUAUCACAAUACAAGUAACACAUUAUUUCAUAAAGUAUGAAUUAAUAAGUCAUGCACAAUUUUUUGGACUAGUUAAAUACUUUUUGUCUUUUACCUAAAGACAAAUUUUAUAUUUUAUAAAACUUAGGUUUAUAACAUUUAAACUCUUUCUCUAUUCUUUUAGUUAAAACGGUGGCUUCUUACUAGGGUAAGAAAGUCAUAGUCUUUUGAUUAAAAUAAGAAAAAGAAUGCAUGAGUUGUAAAGCAUGGGAGACAAGUAGACUUAUGUUCAUGGAAAGCUUAAUAAGUUAAGGAGUUUCAUAAACUGAACAACUUAAAAUAAAAAGACACCCACUAAUCAUAAAUGUGAACUAUGAAAUAUGAACACAACUAUAAAAAUAAUUAACUCUCUUAGGCAUUUCACCAAACACUUGUAAAACGUCGUCAAAUAUAACUUGGUAGCCCUUUUAUAAUUCAAAGUUUCACACGAAAUCUUCUUGCAUAUAAACCGAUAUAAAAACAACUAGUGUUAUUAGAUUAAUAUUAUUAAUAUGAUGAAAAUCUAGUUACAACUCACAAUUUUGAUUUUGAAGCUAAAAAUAAAAAUCGGAGUAAAUGAAAGACACAAUAAUUUGAAUCAUGUUUUUCAAGCAACAAUUGCAUCAAAUCAUAUUGAACAUCAUUACGAAGGAACAUGAUUUUCAGAAAAAACACAAAAAGUUCAUCAAUUAAAUAGCUAGUUGAGAAGUCAAAUUAAAAAAAAAAACAUAACAUAUGUUAGCAGUUAAGGUUCUUACUGUAAUCAAUCACAUUGAAUUAGAACUGCAAAUUGUUAGAAUAGAAAAUUGGUUGUUGUAUGUUUGAAUACAUAACUCAGUUGGAGGCGAAAAAUAAGAUGGUGAUUCUGGAUUGGUGUUCAACAUAGUCCAAUGACACAAUAAUUUUUCCCAACCCAUUUAGAUUAUAUAUAUUUUGUGACAAAACUACCCUUAAUGAAGUCGAUUGGUCGAGAACUAUCCUCGUAGUCCUCACCGAAAUUGGAGUCAUCAUCGGAUCUGAACCUUAUACACACACACAGACACAUAUACACACAACACCUAUCUAUAUGUAUUUAUACAUUUCGUUUAAGACAUAUUUUGUCAUAUAAAUAUUAUAUAUGCAAAAAAAACAUCUUUUUAUAUAAACCAUAUAAAUAAGUAUUUUCAUAAUUUAUUGUAUAUAUUGCUUUAUAUAAAAUAUAUAUGUAUUUAUACUUAUUGAAUACAUAUUUAAAUAUAUAUAAAUAAAUUUUAGUAUGUACAAAAAAAAUUUACUAAAGAUAUAAUACACAUGUAAAUAUAUUGUAAUAUGUUUUUUACAAAUUGAAUUACGUUUUAAAUAUUCAUUAUGAAGAUGCGAUGUUAUAGUCUUUGGUGAUUGUUGUAAUUUCCAAAAUCGUUUGAAAUUUAUUCCUAUGGCAUAUUACCACUGAAAUCAUCAAUUCCAACCACAAGCUUCACAAGAAAGUAUGGAAUUACAUCUUACACUAACUUAUGAAUCAACAACUACAAACAAAUAGCUUAAAUUACAAUAAUUUGAAUUUAUUACUGUAUACACAAUCAAUUGUACAAGUUAUAGAGGCCUUGUACAACUCAUUAACGAGAUUAAAUCUUGCUUUGUCCAAUUCUCAUUAGAAUUUGAAUUUGAUAAAUUAGUGAUUAGAGUUUUGAAGGGCAUCAAAUUCAUAAUGAUGCUUAAAAUCCAUUAAUUUUAAAGAGUCUUGUGUUUGUUUUAUGAUAACUAAAAUUUAAACAUGAAUUUUAUUAAGCAUGUAGGGACGUAUAAUCCACAUCAGGUUCAUCAUGGGUUCCUAGUAAAAAUCAUAACCAAUUAUAUAUUUUUUUUAGUUUUUUUUUUGAACAACAGGUUAACUGGUUAGGUGUUAGUGUUAAUAUUCUAAUUCCUUUUAGCACCAAGGAUCGGACCAUGACAUCCCCAUUCUCGUAAAUUAAGAGACUAUGGUGCCGUUUGUUUUUUCGAAGCGAAAAUGCAUGAAGUCUGCGGACCACCUCUGCAACCCUUUGUAGUAGAAGAGGGAACCAAACGGCUGCAACAUGUAAUAAAAAGUUUGUUUGUUUUUUAACCUCUGCAGAUUGCUGCAAUAAGUUAAAGUAAGGUAUGAGAAAGUUUGAAGUAGAGUCAAAUGUUGUGUCACGCAACACACUUACAAUUGUUUUUAAGACAAAAGUCUUUUGAAAAACAAACAGCUGCGAAUGACCAAGUGGUGCGCGACGCAAUAAUAAAUAGUCAGAAGUGGUUUUUUAGAAAAAACAAACAACACCUAUGCCUCUACGAAUUGAGCUAUUUCCAAUUGACAAUUUUUUCCUUUAAUACUAAUGUGUUAUCAAUAAAAAGAAAAGUUUUAGAUAUAUGUAAGGAGUCAACGGGCAACAAGUUGUGCCGUUAAUCAUUUUUCGAUGUCGAAACUAAUUCUUUUAAAAAUCACAUUCAUAAAUAUUGAGAUCAUAAAAUUACUAUACAUGAACAAUUGGACUCUAUUGAAAAGUUCCAUAACAUUUUACCAUACUUUUUUUUUCUUCAUGAAACUACAUGCCUCAUGUCCUAAAGUCCACAAAAAGGAAACCUUGUUAUAUAAUAAAACCACAUAAUAUGAUUUGUUUGUUUGGUAUUUAAUGACUUAAAAGACAUAUUUUAUUAUUGGACAUUUUUACAUUUUUCUUUUUGAAAAAUGCAAAGAUUUUGCUUAAAUACAAGCAACAAAUUUGUUAAUUAUUAGAGAUGAAAAAUGCCGAUUAAGAAUAGUGAAGGGGCCAUUUAUGUAACUCAUUCCAAUCUUAGAAUCAAAUAGGGCUUCGUCUACACAGGGCAUCAACUAUAUAAACGUAGAGUUAGGGUUUUUGCUAGUGUUACCGAGCUACCGUCGCCGCGCAGCCAUCUUUGAUUCCUCAGGUUCUCCCUCUCGCUCUCUCUCCCUCUAUUUGAAUGCUUGAACUAUUACUGCGUGUUUAUGAACAUCUCUUAAAAUCAACACAUGUUUUUUUUCUAUCACCGAUGUUUUCGUUCGAUUGUUCGUAAGGAUUUGAUUUCAGGUGAAAUCCGAUCUAUAUUUCGUCUCUUCUGAUUAUAUAGACUGCCAGAAUGCUCAGUUACUGGAAAUUAUCUUGCAAUCCGUUGAUUUUAUGAAUUGCACUUAUCACGAAUCCGUAUCUGUUUUCAUAUGGAACACACUUCAAUUGAUCACAUACUGUCAAAACGUUGUCGGCUCUGUCUCGAGCUUAUUUACUACUCAAAAAUGAUUUUUUAUUCGUUUAUAGGAGAUAGGUGCAUUCAUCCGUAAAGAUUCAAUCGAGUUUUGAGCAUUUGAUUCGUUUGUGCAUCAAACAUUGAAAAUUUUAAUCACUUAUAGAUGGAUCUUCAAUGAAUAACGAUCUGAUUAUCAUAUUCAUCCACUUUGUCUAUAUAUUGUUUAAUUUCUGAUUUAAAGGUGGACGAAGGCAAAGAUGUCGCACAGGAAGUUUGAGCAUCCCAGACACGGUUCCCUUGGGUUUCUUCCCAGGAAGCGUGCUGCUCGCCACAGAGGCAAAGGUAUAGUUCGUUUCUUAGUUUGCAUUAAUCAAUCUAUCCUUAUUUUGUUUCUGAUUGGAGUUCAUCUCUGCAUUUUUAAUCUAGCGUUUUCUUUUUUAAACAAAAUCCUUACUCUUAAAAACUUUCAUUAAUUGAUGAAGAAACUAACAUUACUCUUUCACAAGUGAUGUAAAAAUGGAGACUAGACCUUCAAAAAUUUCCACCACUCUCACAUACACUCUAAGAGCACAUUGAUCUUUCUAGUAGUUUUGGUUAAAUUUGAGUUGUAUUUUUUCAUUCUCUUUUCAUUUGUAAUUAUCAACUAAACCAUGGUUGAUUUGAUUUAUGCAGUGAAAGCUUUCCCCAAGGAUGACCCAACCAAACCUUGCAAGCUUACAGCUUUCUUGGGUUACAAAGCUGGCAUGACCCACAUUGUCAGAGAUGUUGAGAAGCCUGGAUCCAGUAAUCCAUUUUUCCUCAAAUUCCAUCAUCAAAUUAAUUAAUUUCUCUUUCCAGUAUACUAAUCUUGACUUCAUUAUUUCUUCAGAGCUCCACAAGAAAGAGACAUGUGAAGCAGUGACAAUCAUCGAGACACCUCCCAUGGUGGUUGUUGGAGUUGUUGCCUAUGUCAAAACCCCCCGUGGCCUCCGUUCUUUGAACACUGUUUGGGCACAACAUCUCAGUGAAGACAUCAAAAGAAGGUUCUACAAGAACUGGUGCAAAUCCAAGAAGAAAGCAUUCGCCAAAUACUCCAAGAAGUUCGAAUCCGACGAGGGCAAAAAAGACAUUCAAUCCCAGUUGGAAAAAAUGAAAAAAUACGGAACUGUCAUUCGUGUCCUAGCUCACACCCAGGUAAAAAAAAUUAAUUUCCAUUUCACCCUUUAUGUAAUUUACUCUUUUAUAUCUAAAUCUGACUCAUUUUGUGUUUUCAGAUAAGGAAAAUGAAGGGAUUGAAGCAGAAGAAAGCACAUUUGAUGGAGAUUCAAGUGAAUGGAGGAACAAUUGCUCAAAAAGUUGAUUUUGCUUAUGGGUUUUUUGAGAAACAGAUUCCAAUUGAUGCUGUUUUCCAGAAAGAUGAAAUGAUUGACAUUAUUGGUGUGACAAAGGGUAAAGGUUAUGAAGGUGUGGUGACACGUUGGGGUGUGACUAGGCUGCCACGUAAGACCCACAGAGGUCUACGUAAGGUGGCGUGUAUCGGAGCGUGGCACCCUGCCAGAGUGUCAUUCACUGUUGCAAGAGCUGGUCAGAAUGGGUAUCAUCACAGGACUGAAAUGAAUAAGAAGAUUUACAAGUUGGGAAAGACUGGACUCGAGUCUCACACUGCACUCACUGAGUUUGACAGGUUAGUGACUCACCGAGUCAGAAACUCAAAGAAUCUUUUUGUAAAUAAAAUUACCUUUUUAAUGAGUUAUUGGUGUGUUGUUAUGUGUAGGACUGAGAAGGAUAUAACACCAAUGGGUGGGUUUCCUCAUUAUGGUGUGGUGAAGGAUGAUUAUUUGUUGAUUAAAGGGUGUUGUGUGGGGCCCAAGAAGAGGGUGGUGACUUUGAGACAGUCGUUGCUUGCUCAGACGUCCAGGCUGGCGCUUGAGGAGAUUAAGCUCAAGUUUAUUGACACGUCAUCCAAAUUUGGGCAUGGUCGUUUCCAGACUACACAGGAGAAGCUUAAGUUCUACAAUCGCAUGAAGGCUUGAAGAAUUUUGGGGUUUUGAAAUAUGAUGAUCAUGAAAUGUUGGUUUCUUUUGUUUUCUGGUUAUGUUUUGAAUUCUGAAAAGAAAGACCAGUUUUGGUUUGAGUUUUGUUUACUUGAGACGUUUGAAUUUGUAAACGUUUUUUUGGUUAAUUUCAGGAUAUUUAUUUUACAAUUCAGGUGUUUAUUGUUUGGUAUAUUCACUAUUAAUGCUUGCGAAAUCGUUUUAUGAUGGUUCUCACACAAUUUAAAAAACAAAUCUGCCAUUUUUCUUGACGAAAAUGCACUUAAAAAAAUCUUGAUAUCAUAAUAAGUUUAUUGGACGAAAAUUUAGAUGUAGUUAGGUGGUCAUUGGUAGGUUGAAUCCUAUAUGGAUAUGUAUAUACGGACUCUCAACCUUCAUGAACAAGUUGUAUUAAUGAGGUUCUAUAUGGUUGAGGUACAUGUAUGGAUGUUGAUGUACAUGAUGGAAGUACAUGUAUAUGGGGAAGUUUAGUAGGAUCAGUUAUGUGAACCAUUUUUCGUUAUACAAAAAUGAAUAUUUUUAGAAGAGCUUAUGAGAUAAUUUUAAAAUGGUUUUUCUAAAUUAGAAGAACAAGGAUCUUAUAAUAAUGAUAUAGAUCAAGGGAUAUUUGAUAUAUUUUUUAUUGGAUCUCAUUGAGUUUGAUAUGUUUAUAAUAUUCAAACUAUUUAAUACCAUUUGAACCAGUCCUAUAACAUUUGAUGUGUGUAAUUAAAUAAACAAUUAUAAAAAAACCCAAAGAUUAAUUGCUUACAUUUAUAUGUAUUAACUUUUCAGGUUCAAACUCUAAUAAUAAAGGAAAAGACCACAAGGAAAAAGACUGAUACAAAACCGGUCCUAAAAAAAUUGGAUAGUUUCAAGACUGACACGAGAUCAGACCAAGAGCGACCCAUGGCCAUUCUCAAAAAAUGCUAGAACCUAAAAUUUGUAAACAUACAUUUUUAUAUUGAUUACAUAUUUUUUAAUCAUAUUACCAUUUUUUUUCCUUUUCUUGUUUUAUUAAAUUUUAAUGUAUUAUUUUUAAUAAAUCUUAAUCUAUGAGGAGUGUAUGAACGAGCUAAAAAACGGGAAUAGACAGUAUUUAUUUCAGUAAGACCACGUGCCAAAAUAUAUGUAAGAGGCUUUUGGAACAAACCGAUAGAGAUUUGGACAGAAAUCAAAUAAAAAACAAAUGGGACAUUAUGCGAAAAGAGUUCAAGUAUUAUGACCGUUUAACAAGACUAGAAACGGAAAUUUCAAUUGAUCACGUGAGAAAUAUAAUCUCAGCAUUAAAGGAGUGGUGGGAUGAGAAGACAAAGGUAAUAGUUAUAAAAUUUAUCUAGCACUUUAUUAUUUGUAUUGUGUUUUUCCUGACAUUCUCAUUUUGUACAUAAGAGAAAAUAAAGAGUAUGCUAAGUUUAAUGAUAAGAAUUUGGAGGUAUAUGAGACAUAUUACGAGGCUUUAUUUCGGGAUAACGUAGCUGUUAGAGGCAAGGCUAAGCUACCUUGUGAAUUUGGCGACAAUAGCACUCUAGAUGAUGUGCAAUUUGUGGAUAUUACGGAUGGAAAAGAAGCUAGUGACGAAGUCCUCUUAUUUGAUGAUGUUGAUCCUUUUCUCACAUAUAGUAGUUCUAGUAAGAAAAGGAAGGGAAAGAAGUUAACUCCCAGGCAUGAAAGGAAAAAGUAUGGUAAGCUCGUCAUAUGAACAGAAUCUGGACACUGUUUUUGAUGUUUUGUUAACAAGGAGCACUCAGACCUCAAGACAAACCACACACUCACCAACAACAGAAGAAUGUAUGACAAUUGUGUCUACUUUCCCGGGUUUUGAAGAAGGCUCAAUAGGAUAUUUGGAAGCGUUAGAGGUCUUUCUAAAGAAGUCAGCUCGUCAGAAUUUUAUGGUUCCAAAGACUGAUGAAACAAAGAUGGAGUUUCUCAAAAAGUUUAUAUGGAAAGCGAAGUAGUUGAAGAUAUAAUCUACUUUUAUGUCUUGUGUUAGACUUAUCCUUUUAUCUAUCAGGUUGAUUUUAAGCGAUUGUCAUGUGUUAGACUUAUCCUUUUAUCUAUUAAGUUGACUUAAAAAUGUUGUUUUUUUGUUUGUUUUAAUGCAUUUCCGUUUUAUGUUUGUUUUGUGGUCAAUUUUGCCAUUGUCCCAUGAUUUUGCCCUUGUUUCAUUUUCCAUGAUUUUAUCUAUUAGGCGGUAAAUUUCCAUCUUACCCUUGUUGCCUUUUCCUUUAUUUACUAACAAAUUAUUUCAUGUUAGUGUUGACUCAUGUCCAGUGACUGUGAAAGUGACGACUCAUAUGACAAUGAUGACUUAUGUGAUGAAACUAAAGAAAAUGAAGAGAUUCAAACGCUUCUUUUAUGUGGGCUUGCUGUCAAUGGGUUACUAUUGAUUCAUAAAUUGAAAAACGAACGUAGACGUCGCCGUUCAUCUUCAAGCACAUGAAGCAUGCUUAUCAAUGAAAUACUUAACGAUCAUGAGAGACGAUGUUAUGAACUUUUCAAAUUACAAGUCCCGGUUUUCAACAUGUUAUGUAGGGAUCUUGAUGCACAUUAUGGGUUGAAGAAAUCACAUCGUGUAUCUAUUCAAGAGUCCCUUGGUAUUUUCUUGUUGUACUUAGCGCAUGGAUGUGGAAAUCAGUUAUUUCAAAAGUUCUUUAACCAUUAUGGGGAAACAAUCCAUAGGCAUUUUCAUAAAGUCUUCGAUGUUGUGGUUAACCUAAGUAAGGACAUCAUCAAACCAAAUGCUAACUACAACGAAACCAUACCAGAACAUAUUUUAAAUAAUCCUCAGUAUUAUCCAUACUUCAAGGUACUUAUUUUAUUGCAAAGUUAUGCUAUUUGGUGAAUUUGUUUAAUUGUAAAAAUAAUUGGUAAGUUAUUAUAUUUUUUGAAUUUGUAGGAUUGUAUUGGUGUUAUCGAUGGAACACACGUGAAGGCCUUUGUUCCACAAUGAACCAAAUCAAAUACAUUGGACGAAAGAAUUGUGUUACUCAAAAUAUUAUGACAACAUGUGAUUUCAACAUGUGCUUUACCUUUGCGUGGGCUGGAUGAGAGGGGAGCACUACACAAGAAUAUUCAAUGAAGUGCGAACAUCCGUUAUCAUAUUCCUUGAUUUUCAUCGUGAACAGACUCCUGCCGUGCGGGAACCAAAAGGCUUCAAAGAAAAAUUUAACUAUUAUCAUUCGUCACUUCGCAAUGUUAUUGAACGAACUUUUGGAAUCUGGAAGGCUCGAUGGAUGUUACUAAGAGAUAUGCAUGUAAAUUUCGACUUCGAGACCCAAGUGAAAAUUGUGCUAGCUUCAAUGACGCUUCACAAUUACAUUAGAAUAAGUGGUAGUGGUGAUGCAACAUUUCAAAUAGCACAAGAAGAAUCUUAUAUUCCGCGUAAUGAUGAAGAACCCGAUGAUGGUAACGAGCCACAUGACGAAGUAUCAAGUGCACAAUGUAGAAACGACGAUAUGCAUAUGAGUGUAGUACGCGAUAUGAUUUCCCCACCGCUAUAAGCUAAUCCAAACACUUUUGCAAAACCUGUUUUCUCACACCGCUAUAAACUAAUAAACAAUAACCUAACCCUAAUCUAUCUAAAAACCCUCUUAUCUUAUCUUACUGUAGAAAGCAGAAGCCGUUGAAAGAAAAAAAGAUUUUGGGCCGGGCUAAGCGCAAUGAUAAAAGUUUCUGAUACCUAAAAACUAAUAAGAGAAUUGAAUCACCCUCUUCGGUCUCUCCCGGAAAACCCAGUCACACUUCACAACAUCGGCCCCUAAACCUAAACUCUCUCAUCGGCCUCAACAGUCAGCGGCUCCGGCUCACCAAGCUACCACUGACCACCGUCUCUCUCGCUGACCCUGAAACUCUCUCAUCGGCUCUCGCUCUCACCUUUAAUCUCUCAAUUUCUCUGCUGCUGUUGUUGUCGAGGUAUUCACGCUAUAUCGCAGUCUCACUCUGUUAUGUUUUGUAGUUUUUCUAGGUUUAAUUUCUUUUUAUGUUUGCAUUAUGUUAGUUUUCGGUGUAGGGUUUUGGUUACUUGGCUAUCUGUUUCCUGUUUUUCAAUCUUCCUGCUUGCUUAACACAGUAAGUCAGUAACACUUAUAGUAUACUCUUGAAGUAAUUCUUUAAGGUCAGACAUUAGUUUUUCUUGAACAAAUCGACAUAGAUGUUGUUUACCAUUGGUAUAUUAGUCAAUUUAGCUUUUAUAUACUCUAUAUCCAACAUUUCAUACUUAGGGUUUGUUGAAAAAUUCGAAUUGAAAAUCAAAAUUAUCAUUAAACCUCGUUAAAAAACGUGAAUUGUUUAUUGUUUUACUAGCUGAUUGGUCUAAAAUGAUUUAUUGUAUUGUAUUCUUGUAUUUGCUACUAUACUAGCUGGUGUAAGAAACAGUUACUAAUUUGAAACAAUCCAUUAUCUUAUGCAGUUUUCUAAGUUCUAACAAUGGUGGAGGUGAAAGUCUCUGAGAGCAAAGACCUAACCCGAAUCGAACGAAUCGGGGCCCACUCCCACAUCCGUGGGCUCGGUCUUGACUCUGCCCUAGAACCCCGGGCAGUCUCCGAAGGCAUGGUGGGUCAAACCACUGCCCGAAAAGCCGCCGGAGUCAUAGUCCAAAUGGUCAAAGAAGGGAAAAUCGCGGGUCGGGCCGUUCUACUUGCGGGUCAACCCGGAACCGGAAAAACCGCCAUAGCCAUGGGCAUGGCCAAGUCAAUAGGACUUGAAACCCCAUUUGCCAUGCUGGCAGGUAGUGAGCUUUUCUCUUUAGAAAUGUCCAAAACAGAAGCUUUAAUGCAAGCAUUCAGGAAAGCAAUUGGUGUUAGAAUUAAAGAAGAAACCGAAGUGAUUGAAGGAGAAGUUGUGGAGAUCCAAAUCGACCGCCCUGCAGUGGCCGGAGCCGCCUCGAAAACCGGGAAGUUGACUUUGAAGACUACCGAGAUGGAGACUGUGUAUGAUUUAGGAGCUAAAAUGAUUGAAGCUUUAGGGAAAGACAAAGUACAAAGUGGUGAUGUGAUUGCUAUCGAUAAGGCUUCCGGAAAGAUCACAAAACUCGGGAGAUCGUUUUCGCGGUCUCGAGAUUAUGAUGCCAUGGGCCCACAAACGAAAUUCGUUCAGUGUCCAGAUGGCGAGUUGCAGAAGAGGAAAGAAGUUGUUCAUUGUGUUACCCUUCAUGAAAUCGAUGUUAUCAAUAGCAGGUAAAGUAGAUGAAUGAGUAAUGAUAUCUGUCUGUCUGGAUAGAGUGUUGUCUGUCUGUCUGAAUAAAGUGUUGUCUGUCUGUUUCUUUUGCAGGACACAAGGUUUUCUUGCUCUUUUCACGGGUGACACAGGCGAGAUACGCGCCGAAGUCCGUGAACAAAUUGAUACAAAAGUGGCAGAGUGGCGAGAGGAAGGAAAGGCCGAGAUCGUGCCAGGUGUCCUCUUCAUAGACGAAGUCCACAUGCUCGACAUCGAAUGUUUCUCUUUCCUAAAUCGUGCUUUAGAAAAUGACAUGGCGCCGAUUCUGGUUGUUGCAACGAACCGAGGGAUCACAACGAUUCGUGGGACCAAUUACAAAUCGCCACAUGGGAUUCCGAUUGAUUUUUUGGAUCGGCUUUUGAUAAUUUCUACACAGCCGUAUACGGAAGAGGAUAUCCGGAAGAUUCUAGAUAUAAGGUGUGGGGAGGAGGAUGUUGAUGUGGCGGAAGAUGCUAAGGUUUUGUUGACUAAAAUUGGGGUGGAGACGAGUUUAAGGUAUGCGAUAAAUUUGAUAACAUCGGCUGCUUUGGCUUGUCAGAAGAGGAAAGGGAAGGUGGUGGAGAUGGAGGAUGUGAGUAGGGUUUAUGAGUUGUUUUGGGAUGUGAAGAGAUCGACUCAGUAUUUGAUGGAGUAUCAGAGUCAGUAUAUGUUUAGUGAUGCACCUGAGGAAGAUGAAGUUAACAUGAUGGUUUGAUUAUGAUUCUGAUUGUUGAAUUUUGUGAGUAUUAAUGUUCUAAGCUUCAUGUUGUCAACAAUAGCACUUCUUUAUCUUCAAAUUUAGUAGAGUAUGGGCCCUAUGGGAUAUGCUUCAUUAUUUAAGAGUGAAUUAUAUUUUUGGUUAAAAAGUUUUCUCUUACUUGCAACGUUUUUUUUAUAUAUAUGUUCCAAGUAAAAUGACUAUUUUUGGUCAUUUCACUAGAACAGGGACCAAAAUAGUUACAAAACAUCAAAGAAUGACCAAAAUUGAAAAAUUCAGCUACACAAAGAGACCAAAAUCGUAAAAACGUUAACUGGUUUUGAAAUUUUGUUCUCAAAUUGUAGUCAACCAAAAAUGUUUACAAAAACUCAAAUAAAAACCAAAUUUUCAAAAGAAAAAGGUUCACACAAUAAUUAGUUAGAACAAAUAAACUUAACUACAGAUGCUAUAAUUACAACUAAAAAGCUUUAUUAAACUACUUUAAAAAAACUAAAAGUUUUUUCUUUCUUGAGCUUACUACUGUUAAAAAACUAUAGUGUUAGUCAAGACUUGAGCUUACUACUGUUAACAAACUAUAAAUUGUAAAAUUGUUUUAAAAUAAGUUUUUUUUCUUCUUCUAAAUUACAUACAUAUAGUUUUCAUGAUAAUAAUAUAGAGAAAUGAUCAAUUAGAAAUUCCCUAAAAAUACGCUACCGAUGCAUUGAAAGGCUAAAAUUAACAUCAAUUAGAUCUAAUGCAAAUUAUAAAAUAACCAAUUUUUUAUAACGAAAUGAUCACACGUUUCAUGAACAAGGUUUUGCGAUUCACAAAAGGAAUUAACAAUAUUAGGUGUGAGACUUAUAUAUAUAUAUUAAAUAAAAAAAUUAAAUAUCAAAAUGUAAACAUUAAAUAUUUUUAAAAUUAAAUUUUAAAAUAAGGAAGAAAAAUACAUAUUUAUUACAAUUUAUGAUCAUAUUUAUUACAUUUACUACUUUAUUUAUAUAGUUAUAUUAAGUAUUAUGUGGCUUUUUAAUUUUAAAAAUUAAAAAAAUCUAGAAAUUGACAUGUAGAUAUUAUUUAUUUCAAAAAUACCACAAAAUGAUAAGUGUCAAAACUUAAGAUAAAUUGACAUGUGGCAUAAUGGAUACGCAAAACACAAAACCUUUUUCGCGAAAUGUAUACUUUCACAUUUUUUUUUAUCAAUAUACGCAUUUUUUAGAUUUAUAAGACAUUAAUUUAAUUUGUGGUAUUUAUAAUCAAUUUUGUUAUUAUGCAGGUACCCAUGUGAAAGAUAUGUAUGAAAAUUGACCUACAAACAGUUGAGUCAAACAUUGAAUCUGCAUGAUCACUCAAAUACCUGCAACAGUAAUAAGGAUAAGAAGGAAGCAAGUAAGUACAAGUGUACAACCUUAACACCCCAAAACCAAAACAAGAGCAUCCCAAAAUUUCAACUUUUGAAACAACAUAAGCUUUACAAUAUUUUAAUAAAAGAUGUAUUUUAUUCACUAAAGGAUCAAACAAGUUACAUUAUCUUGCCUCUACGAGGUUAUUAAAUGGUUUUAAUUAAAAGACAUUCGAAUGAAAGCAGAUUGCCAUAAAUUGGUCUCAAAGCAUUAUUAAUCUAGGCAAAAAAGUAUAAUGUUUUUUUGAGCAUCGAGAUAAUACGUUUUUUUUGCUUGUUCCCUAUAAUUUAAUUUUUGUUUGUGUUUUAAUAUUUGUGACGAUUUAAUAAAAUGUCAAAUUUUGUUAUGUUAUGUUUAGUUUAGUUGAGUUCUAUCAUAUUCCACUUUAUUAUGUUGUGUAUCAAAUGUUACCUUUUUAAAACAGUACAAAGUAAAAAAAAAAUAUAGUAGAAAAGCUCAUUUAAAGAACAAUCUUGAAUAUUCUUAGGUAUUAUCCAUGAGAAUAGUUUUGGAGCAACUAUAAUAUUUUAUUUAUUAUCCAUGAAAACAGAUUUGAGAUGGAAACAAAGAUAAUAUAUGAAAAGGCCCAUACUUUUAUUUACCCUGUUUAUGAAACGAAGCAAAAGCAAAAAUAUAGAAGAUCAUAUUCAUAACUAGGGCGAAGUCCCCACAACACUAAGAGAAUUCGUAACCCAAUACGAUUUUCCCUUUCAGACACUACUCUCUUUGCCGCUUCCAGCUUCGGCUGACUUCGUUCAUCAUCUUCAGGUGCGAUUCCCCUUUAUUCAGAUUUACGAUUCUCACUCCUGGUUUUCCCCUUCCAAGAAGAUUCAGUUUGAUUUUUUCACGUUAUCUUAUUACAAUUCCCGAUGGAAAUUUAGGGUUUUACUUCCAAAUUCUUUUGCUUUGCUUGAUUAGCAAUCAUCAACCGUUUUUUCUUUUGGAUUUUAGAAUUGAUUGCUUCAUAUAUUGUAUGAGGAACCUUUUUCCAUGAAUCAGUUCAAAUUUUUUUUUCUUCUUUCAGGAUAAUUUAAAAUGACAGAGCCUUCUAAAGUCAUUCACGUUCGGAAUGUUGGUCACGAGAUUUCGGAGGUUUGAUUUCUUUGUAAUUCACAACGUGCUUCUUUCGAUUAUGCAUUUUAAGGACGGAUUCCUUUCCAUUCUUUCUGUUAUUCAUCACCCUAGAUGAAUUUUUCUGUUUCUGUUCAUAAAGAUCGAUGCUAAUUGUAACUUUGUAACAUAGAGAGUGUAGUUAUAAUUCCGUUUCAUUGUUUCUGUUAUUCAGCCUGAUCUACUUCAACUAUUCCAACCUUUUGGAGUCAUCAACAAACUAGUUAUGCUUCGUGCAAAAAACCAGGUAUAUAGCUUUGCAAUAUAAAAUCGGUCAAUAUUUUAGCUAUUAAUUUCCUAACAUUUGCAGGCUCUCCUUCAAAUGCAAGAUGUCCCUUCAGCUGUGAAUGCAAUGCAAUUUUAUGCCAAUGUUCAACCAAGCAUAAGGUGUAUCGACUACUGAUGUAACAAAAAUUAGAACAAGAAAGAAUUAUGGAUUUCAUAAAUCAUAAUUGGUCUUUUUCUAAUCGUUUAAGUUUUAUUGAGGUAAAAAUUUAUACUAACUAUUAUUUACUAUAUAUGCAAACUCCAGGGGUAGAAAUGUGUAUGUUCAGUUUUCAUCUCACCAAGAGCUAACCACAAUGGAGCAAAAUACUCAAGGGCGUGGAGACGAGGUAUUUAUUAUCAAUUUUAUAUCUUUUUGUUAUGGUGAUUUGAUGAAGUAUAUUAUAUUUAUGGGUCUGUUUGUAAAUUGUAUGUGUGUAGGAGGUUGACAUAUUUAAAAUUCUAUCUCUAUCUCUAUAUCUAUAUCUAUUUCUCUUUCCCUUUCUUCUUUUCUCUAUCUAUUCUUCUCUAUUCAUUCUAUUCUCUUCUCUCUCUUCUGUCUAUGCUGGGCUUUGGGCUGCGAUUGGACGUGGUAUGGAACACAGCCUAACCGUAUACUCCUGGUUACAAUCCAUCACAUGCUCUACCCUAUUACUGUGGAAGUCCUGCAGCAAGUCUUUUCUCCUCAUGGAUAUGUCGAGAAAAUCGUCACUUUUCAAAAGUCAGCUGGUUAGCAUCGUUACAUUUUUUCAUUUCUUUUUAAUUCUUAUUCAUAAUUUCAUGUCAUAUAUUAUUUUCACAUAUAGGUUUUCAAGCACUUAUUCAGUUUCAAUCACGCCAGAGUGCUAUAUCUGCAAGAAAUUCCCUUCAGGGGCGUAAUAUUUAUGAUGGUUGUUGUCAACUAGAUAUUCAAUUCUCAAAGUAAGUUUUUAAAUUUUAUUUUAUUUAGAAAAAAAAAAUCUUUUCCUAAUAUGAUAUGAUUUAAUGGUUGUUGACUUUUUACAGUCUUGACGAGUUGCAAGUGAACUACAAUAAUGAUCGGUCUAGGUCUGUUAAUGUUUUUGUGAAUAUAACAAAAUAUCUUCUUAUGAUUUUACAAAUUUAUUUAACUUUUUGUUUUUUUGUAUCAAUAGAGACUUCACAAACCCAUCACUGCCUUCAGAACAAAAGGGCAGACCUUCUUCUCAAGUAUGUUUUUGAUCACAAUCUGUUGUUAUCUUAUUAAAUUCGUUUCCUAUUUUAGUUGAUUUUUCUUUUAAUUUUUUAUUAUUAUUAUUCGCUGUUGUGCCAGCCUGGAUAUGGAGACGCAGGAGGUAUGUACAGUUUACAAGGUCAUGAAGGUAGGAAAGGUGCCAGAGUGUCUUCUGAUAAAUAUUUUUAAUUUUAAUUUUUUCUUGUUUGGUUUUCAGUUGGAUUUCCACAGGUGGGUGUUCUCCUCUUUGUUAUAUAAAUGCAUCUGCUUGAAACUGAAAGGGAGUCAUUUAUUAUAACCAUAUAUUAAUAUUAUUAUUAAAUACUAAUGGUUUUAUUGGAUUUGUUUUUUGUAAACUGUUGAAAUUAAGAUGAACAAUGGCGCAGCAAUUGCAGCUGCAUUUGGAGGAGGGUUGCCUCCUGGAAUUAGUGGGACUAAUGACAGAUGCACUGUUCUUGCAUCUAAUCUAAAUCCUGAUGUAAUCUCUCUCUCUCUCUCUCUCUCUCACACACACACACACACAGAUCAACAUUAUGUUUGUUUUGAUGGUGAUAUUUUGUGUUGAUAUAUAUAAAUAUAAUAUCAGAGGAUAGAUGAAAACAAACUGUUCAACUUGUUUUCUUUAUAUGGAAACAUUGCCCGAAUCAAGCUUCUUCGCAAUAAACCAGAUCACGCCCUUAUCCAAAUGGGUGAUGGCUUUCAGUCUGAAUUAGCAGUACACUUUUUAAAGGUCCAAAAUUUUACAAAAAAAAUACUCUUCUUUAUAUUAUAUUAUAUUAUAUUAUAUAGUUAGAUUUAUAACCAGUAUUAGUUUUAAAUUAUAGGGGGCAACAUUAUUUGGAAAGAGAUUGGAGGUUAAUUAUUCAAAACAUCCACACAUCACAAUGGGUGCUGAAACGCAUGAGUAUUUAAACUCAAAUCUUAACCGAUUUAACCGUAAUGCUGCUAAAAACUAUCGUUACUGUUGCUCGCCAACCAAAAUGAUCCACCUGUCCACCCUACCACAGGACAUAACAGAGGAGGAGAUUGUGGCCCACCUUGAAGAACAUGGGAGCAUCAUCAACACUAAGCUUUUUGAAAUGAAUGCUAAAAAACAGGCUCUUGUUUUGUUUGAAAAUGAAGAACAGGCCACUGAAGCUCUUGUGUGUAAGCAUGCAAGUAGCCUUGGUGAUUCCAUGAUUCGGAU
rnacentral:lncRNA from 1 species